AACGAACGCUGGCGGCAGGCUUAACACAUGCAAGUCGAACGCCCCGCAAGGGGAGUGGCAGACGGGUGAGUAACGCGUGGGAAUCUACCCAGAACUUCGGAACAACUGAGGGGAACUUCAGCUAAUACCGGAUACGCCCUACGGGGGAAAGAUUUAUCGGUUUUGGAUGAGCCCGCGUUGGAUUAGCUAGUUGGUGGGGUAAUGGCCUACCAAGGCGACGAUCCAUAGCUGGUCUGAGAGGAUGAUCAGCCACACUGGGACUGAGACACGGCCCAGACUCCUACGGGAGGCAGCAGUGGGGAAUAUUGGACAAUGGGCGAAAGCCUGAUCCAGCCAUGCCGCGUGAGUGAUGAAGGCCUUAGGGUUGUAAAGCUCUUUCAGUAGGGAAGAUAAUGACGGUACCUACAGAAGAAGCCCCGGCUAACUUCGUGCCAGCAGCAGCCGUAAUAC
rnacentral:rRNA from 1 species